rnacentral:lncRNA from 1 species
AGCGUAAAAUAGAUGAGUUGAUGCAUUGGUGACUUUAAACAGUCUACUUAGAAAGUUUAAGGAUUAGUUCAAUUUCAAGGAACGUAUUAGAUAUUAUUAGAACUGUCCAGUUCUUGACCUCUAGUAUUCUACCAUAAUUAGCUAGACUCUUGACCUCUUGUAUUCUACUAUAAUUAGCUAGACUCUUUGUAUCUUGCCUUAAUGGCUCACCCUUUUGUAUUCUGCCAUACUGGCUAUAUAUAUGGAAGCUCACCCCCCAGUUGGGUGUGUGGUGUUUGCCCAACUCCUAUUCUCCACAUAGUAUCACGUGACCAGGCCACUUCCUAGGCCUGCGCCUCCUACUCCCCUCCGCUGCCCCCUUUCCACUUCCCCCCUGCCCAGCCGAUCAGGCCAUCUUCC